CUGCCGGGCGCUCCCGAGGGCCCGCGCACCAGUCCAUGCUGUCUUGCCGCCUGCUGGGCGGCCGCCGCCGCAGCACCACAGCACGGCGAGCCGCCCGGCUACCGUACGAACGCCGGCCGCGGCCACUAGCCGACGCGACAUCACCUGACCUCGCGGCGCCCUGGCGCGCGCACGCGCAGCACAGCGACUCGGGUCACAGUGCGCCACGCCCAGGGCCACUCCCGCAGGCGCCGCGGGGCUAGCGCGUGUGCAGUCGGCGGGCGCCCGCUCUGGCUGGCCCCAUCCUCGCCUGUUUAAGGUCUGGGCAGUCGCCCUGGCCUUCCAGAAAGUUGAGCGCAGAAACCCGAGCAAACGACUUAGCCUAGGCGCCAGGGGGAAAGCAACGCCUUUAUACUUUUUCUUUUAAUCUGGCAUCGGCCAUGACGCCUCUCUGCGGCGUCCUCCUUGGGAAGAGGGCCGCUAAAAUGAACGCAGGCGUCCCGCCCUGCGCACUCUCGUCGGCCGCCUCUACAGGAUUACCCAGGUAUUCGGUGCUGCGCUCCCUCUUGAACAAAGGAACUGGUUUGGAGCUGGGGCUGUAACUCAGUGAAAAGGUCCCAGGUUCAGUCUCAAAUACUGGAAAAAAAAAAAUUGAA